rnacentral:lncRNA from 1 species
GACAGAGAGCGGGUAAUACUGCGUCCUGCAGAGAAGAAUCAAACACACAGUACACAAACCUGCUGCUUUGAAAAUACACAGUAAAGAUUAAAUACCACAGAAAGGAAUACUCACUCUCUACACCUUACCUGCAGGUCUCUCUGGUCUAUUAACUAUGAAGCUUUAUAUACACACACACAACGUGACUUUGACUGUGUUCUUUUACUCUAAUACCAUUUUAUUUUUACAGUGAGAAGUAAGAACAGAAAGAUGAAAAUCAAACCCAUGUGUUGCUCCUAAACCUCAGCAGUAAUGAUGCAUUCACAGAUGUUUAAGCUACCCAUGAUAUCAACAUUUAUGAUCCCCUGUAACAUCAGGGAUGCUGGCUUUGAAAUGAGCAGAGGAGAUAAUGUCCAUGGUUUCCAAAAAGAAAGUUAAAUUGUGAUUCAUCAAAACCUGAGUGACUGUGUUCACAGACAAUGGUUUUUGGAAGUGAUUUUGAGCGAUUGCCAAUACAGAUUCCUGUCUUUUUUAAUGCGGUGUUGCCUGAGGGCCUGAAGAUUAGGACCAUCUUAUCUUUGUUUUGGUCUUGGUCCCUUUUGUACGGAGAUUUCUCCAGACUCUCUGAAUCUUUUAAUGAUGAAAUCCGCUCAUUCUUCUACAUUUUGUGUCUCUGAUUUUUUUUUACAAACAUGUUGCUGCCAUCAAGUUUAAAAUGAAAAUAUGAUUUUGCUCGUUUUCCAGUUAGAAACCUCUUAAAAAACUGUCAAAAUCACUUUUCACCAACAUUUCACUCAGAGUCCUGACUCUUUACAGGCUGAACUACUUCUCCUUUUUUACCACACAUAUCUGUUUCUCUCUUUAGUUCCUCCGUCAGCCACUAGAAGGCAUAAUGUUGUUUUCCUCUGAGCACAUAAACAGACUCCAUUCAGAACUCCAUCUGAGAUUUCUCUUUUUUUCCCUCUCUCUCUCCUCAUGUAUUCUUUAAACCAUCCUCCAACCUUUUUAUUAAUGAUACAGCAUUUUGGAUCAUUAAGUACAUCAGUUCUGCUUCCUUUUAAUUUGUCACUCUGCUAAUUGAUGUCCACAUAGCCAGGCAAUUAAUUCAACCUAAUUAGAGCUCCAUUUGCAGAAGCCUAAUUGACACAUAGAUCUGUCUGCUGAACGGCCAAUUAGGAAUGAGAUGCAUGAAAUAAAAUGAUGGUGAGAUAUUAAUGAUUCAAUCAAAUAUGUGAUUUCAUUAAUUCAGGAAUCUGAGAGCAGGUCUGAAACUACAAAAUCUGGAUUUUAAAGAAGGUUUUCAUUUGUAUUCACUUUUACACUCAGAAAGUUAACACAGACACACCAAACUCCAUUUAGAAAACAGAUAAUUAAAGAGAUAAUCAAACAAGUGGAUGAAAAUUGUCAUUUAUUUAGUCUUAUUGGUUUGUUUUAUCUUGAAGUCUGCAAAAUUUUCUGUGGACACAUGGCUGUCUUAAAAAGUUGAGGCAAUAAUAACAAUAAUAAUAAUAAUCUUUGUCGUUGUUUUUGGGUCACAGAUUCACCUGAUAAUCAAUAACCUCUGAUGUCAAACAUCCUUCACACCUGCUGAUCAACGACUGAUCAGCUCUCAGGAGAAUCAAGGCUGUAAUCCUGCUCUCACUCUUAAAUCUGUCCACAAAAUCACCUCAGAGGACCGGGAGAGACCCGAUCAGAGCCCCGACAGCUGCUCCAACAUCGGCGGACCCCCGCUGAGAGAGGGACCCCCACACUGAGCCGAGGGGCCCCGUCAUCUAAUCAACACGCUGUGAUUCUCUCUGCACAGCGGGAGGGAGGAGAAACCUGCAGCUUCUGAAGGAGGUGAUGCUCUGGAAACUCUCUGCAGCAUGAAAAGAAGAUGUGAUUUCUGUUGUAAAUGGGCAUAUAUUUACAUUCAUUCAUGCAGAGAGGCUCCGUCUGCAGCGAGUCAAUUUAUCAUGGCUGCAUAAUAGGUCAAAUCAAAUAGAAAAAAAUGAAUUUUGAUGUUGUAAAACUGAUAAAAACUCAAAGACAUUCAGUUUACGGUGACAUAAAAGCAGCUUAACUCAAAACUGGUCCUGUUUUACUCACUUUAAAAAACUGGAUUGUGGUGUUAAAUCACAGUAAAGCCUCCUUAAAAUGCAGCCCAGUGUGCAGGGAGUUUAGUUUAAAUCAGACGACCUUAAAAUAACCAGAGAACCAAAGUUAUAAAGGAGGAAAAAGGUGAGACAAGACACGCUGAUAAGGCAGUUUAUCAGAGUUUAUAAUAAACCAAAUGAAGUCUCCAGACAUCUCCAUCUUUGUUGCUAACUUUAAAAACACACAGACCGAUGUAGCAGCAGCAAUGAGGUUACUAAGCUGCUGUUUGACUGGGUUUGUACUUUAUCACCUGAUGUUGUUGUAUUUAUUCAGUGAUUUAAGAACUCCUCCUGUUAAUAACUUCACCCUGCUCCUUGUUUUCGGGACAUAAGCAUGAAAAUUGCUGAAAUAUGUGAAAAUAAACUCUGGAUUUGUUUCCAGCUCCUCUCCUCCAGAGCCAUGUUUCAGGCCUCUCUCGCUGGCCGGCCUCUUCCUUCCACAUUAUACAAGUUCUCUCUUUUUUCUGCUGCCAACUCUUUCCAUUUUCUCCUCGCCAGCUGGUCAGGGGUCUCCUGCUGCCGCUCGGGCCCUCAGCUCACUUCCUACUUUCUGCAGCACCUGUUCCUGUUUGGCAGAGUCGGCCGGGAUGCUGAAAGCUUGGAGACGAGCCAUCUGCUGCCCGGCUCUGCACCAUUUUACCCCCAAUCCCUGGAGUACCUGCAUGCAUCCUGACUUUUCUCUGUUUUAACAGCUCUGAAACACUCAGAGCUGCUCAGAAAUGGAAAAAAAAAGCUGAG